CCUCUGGUUUCUUUUCACGAUUUGAUUCUUUUGUUCCCAAACAAAAGCUACAUAUCGGGAUGGGAUCAGCUCGUGGCUGGUCUUUUUCAUGGGGUAGAAGGCUGACAGGUGGAAGAGAAGCUGGGAAACCACUGGAAUAUUUAGGAGCUCCUUUGCUUUCCAAACCACCAUAAUUCACUCUGUACUGAGGUCCAUCCUUCAGUAAUCUGCCAUUG
rnacentral:lncRNA from 1 species